rnacentral:other from 1 species
GUUUCAAUUCCCAAAGGGGAGGCUACAAAC